UGGGUAUCACUCAGUGGUAGAGUGAGUGCUUAGCAUGCACAAGGUCCUGGGUUCAAUUCCCAGUACCUCAG
rnacentral:tRNA from 1 species